UGACCUCAAAUCAGACGCGAUUUCCCGCUGAACUUAAGCGUAUCACCAAGCGGAGGAAAGGAAACUAGCAAAGAUUCCCUCAGUAUCGGCGAAUGAACAGGGAAGAGCCCAGUGCCGAGGCCUGUGGCCAAUAGGUCACUAGGCAAUGUGGCGGUCAGGUCGUUCCGCGGAGCUGCUGCUCCAUUCCAGGUCCAGCAAUGGGUAACGUAGUGCUGACAUGACCUGUUGAGGUGGAGAGGCAGAAAUGACGGUAUUUUCCUGGAUAGACCUUUGAGUCGGGUUGUUUGUGAAUGCAGCUCAAAGUGGGUGGUAAACUGCAUCCAAGACUAAAUACUUGCACGAGUCGGAUAGCGAACGAGUAACGCGAUGGAAAGUUUAAAAGGACUUUGAAGAGGGAGUAAACUAUGUGUGAAACCUCUCAAGCGUAAACGGGUGAAGUUGAACUGUGAGCUCUGUGGAUUUAGCUGGUGAGUGUGGUUUGGGCUUGGUAAAGUUGGUUCAUGCUAGGCGUAUGCGUGGCAGCAGGUCUCCAUCUUCGGGUGGAGAUGGGCGAUGCACUUGUCAAGUGCUACGCGCUUCGAGUUUAUUCGGGUCAGCUUGCCAGUGCACUUUCGCAGAGUGGUCACCACGACCGGCAUCGCUGUCCUGCUUUGUGGUUAAAUUGGUCUUGCAUUGUCCUUGUGGCUUUGUCUAGUCGGAAUGGCUUACUUGUGGCUCCCUAUAGGCGUUCGGUCAUCGGAUGUAAUCACCUCACCAUAUCGGUUAUGUGCAGUACGUCGGAGACAGCGGCUUGUGGUGUGUGCGUACCAGUCGGUCGGCGUGUUCGGGUUCGGUUAUCUACCUGUGUUCACAGGCCCAAUGAUAUUUCGGAUUCGUUCCGUCAGCGGUUGCGUGCGUGUCACUGUUUCCAGGGCCAAUAGCUUGUAGGGUUGCGGUAGACUAUCAACCCAACCUGUCUUGAAACAAGGACCAAGAAGAGUAACAUGUGCGCAAGUCAUUGGCCGUGACGAAACCCAAACGCGAAGUGAAAAUAAAGGUUUGGCUUGUCUGGACAGAAGUGAGAUCCUGUGUGCUUCAUUUGUGGUAUCACCAAGCAUCGACCGGCAGGAGCAUCACUGGCCUGUCCAAUGGUUUGAUUACCCUAUUCAAAGUUUGUCAUCGGAGCGGAGUAUAAGCGUACAUGUUGAGGCCAAAAGACGGUGAACUCCGUUUGCGCAGGUUGAAGCUAGAGGAAACUGGUGGCACUGGAGCUUCGGAUCUAUACCGGACCGUCACUGCAAGCUGAGUCAGUAGUAUGUGGUGUGAGUACAAGCCACAAGACUCAGGCACGGAGUUUGGAUGUCAAGUAGGAGGGUCGCCGUGGUGAGCAGGAAUUUCAGGCGUUAGCCUGAGCGGAACCGUCAUGGAUGCCGAUUUUGGUGGUGGUGGUGGUAGCUAAUAUUCAAAUGAGACGUCCGAUGUAGAGAAGGGUCCCGUGGGAACAGCGGUUGGCCAUGGGUCAGGCGGUCCUAAGUGAUCCUUUAACUCGGAAAAGAGACGGGGUGUCUGGUAUUGUCAGGAUUGCUGCUGAUGUACCGUUGCGGGGCAGCCCCCUGUAGCAAAAAGGAAUCAGGUUACUAUUCCCGCGGAAAUUGGUGCGUUCUGUUCUCGCACGGGUUUGCAUGUAGCACGGUAACGCAGCCGACCGUGGUGACGUCUGCAAGAGUUCUCUUCAUUAGGAGUGCGUCAUCCCCUGGAGUCGGGUUGUCCGGAGAUAGGGGACUAGCCUCCAUAAAGCACCACAUUUCUUGUGGUGUCUGGAACGCUCUUGUCGACCCUUGAAAAUCCGAGCGAGGCAACGUAAGUUUCGUGGCAGGUCGCCAAUUUCAAUUUACCAGCCAUAAACCAUGUGCCCUAGGCACAUUGGUCCCAGCCGCUACAGUUUCGAUCACCGGAAAACGGGAGGGUGUGGGACAUGCAUCCAAGCCUUGGAGGCGAUGGCAUGUUAAGUUUAUUCGGAAACUGAGUAGCUACGCAUCGAAGCCGUCAUGAAGAGACGGCCUUACCGUGGUGUGACGGUUUGCGCACCUCAGCGACCCAUUGAGCUAUACUGGGGGUGUCCCCGCGACAAAGAUGGGGAUGAAGUUCUCAGUCAGCGCUUGUCUAAUCUUUCUGCUUGCAUCUGUGCAAAGGAAUCUGUUCCAUAAAACUGGGGAGAGUCGGUGGUAGUGCCGAUUUUCAAAAAAGGGUUCCUAAUGAGUGUGGUGACCUCAGGGAGAUCAGCUUGACCCGUCGUAACGAGACUGUUGGCGUCACUUGUGCUUCCUCGUCUUACGUGAGAGACAUCGACUCGAGAGCAGCAAGUGGGAUUUCGGCCUGGUAGCGGUUGAGUUGACCAAAUUUUCACACUCAGUUGCUAGAACAAUGCCAUAUGUAUAAGCGACCCACAAUUAUAGUACUGGAUUUCCAAGGCGCAUUUGACUCAGUUGACCGGCCUGUUCUGCUUGACACGCUUGCCCACCAAGGAAUGCCCCGGAAGUUUGUGAACUUAAUAAGCUCUUUGUAUUAUCGGGCUUCCGGACGUGAGAGUAUACAGCGAGCUCUCAGGGAUCCCCACUCUCUCCACUCCUAUUUAAUUUCGUGAUCGAUGAAAUCACGGGAGGAACGCUGGAAGGUCUCCAAAACCCCGGUGUUCAAAUAGCCUGUGACGAAAAGCUUGUCGAUCUGGAAUAUGCAGACGACGUCGUUCUCAUCUCCAAAGAGGAGGAGAAGGCAGAAGUGUUUUUAGAUGAACUGACCAAAGUCAUCCCGUUCUUUGGUAUGCACUUCACACCCACAAAGUAUAAGGUCAUGCUCGUGGACAUGCAGUCACUGAAGACGCCACGUACAAUCCACGGAGAGGCACUGGAAGUUGUGGAGCGUUUUACGUAUCUUGGAAGUUGUAUGAGUUUUGAUUGUAGUGCACGAAUCUGCAAGGCCCGGGUCGCGUCUGCUAAUUUGAGACAUGUAUGGCGUCAGAGUGGUGUAUCCCUGAAUCUCAAGGGACGUGUGCAUCAAGCUGCAGUGCGGGCUGUUUUGUUGUAUGGCUGUGAGACUUGGCCUGUUCGAGCAGCGGAACUGAGACGUCUUCAGGUGUUCGACAAUCGUUGUCUCAGAACCAUAGUUCGUGUGGGUUGGUGUCGGCGUAUCCGUGACGAGGCAAUUAGAAAGCGAGUUUUCGGUUGUGCAACGGGUACUUCCAUUGAAGAAUGUGUCAAACACAUGGGACAUGUGUUGCGUAUGCCGAACCAUCUUUGCCGAAGGGAGUGUUGUUUCCCAUGCCCAAAUCAGAGUGGCGGAAGCAGAGAGGAGGUCAACCUUGAUCUGACAGAAGGGUAUGAAGGAGAUUACAAAACGUUUGGGUGCUGUCGGUGCUACUCGCCUUCCAGGAUGGGGACCGCGUGAUCCCCACUGUACCUGGCUGCAGACACUGCAAGAUAUGGCUGCCAACCGAUGUCAGUGGCGUUCUUGUUGUCAGUUUCUAUCCAGAUUGGCUGAAUGAGUGACUGGAGGUGUAGGCGCCUAGGAAUGAUUGUUGUAACCUAGCACCAAGUCCCUUCCCCGUCCACCUUUAUUCUUUUCUUCACAAUAAGGCUUUCAAACAAAACAUGGUUGUACGGUAGUGAAGCAUCGGUGUUGAACACUGAUGUAAUGCUGUCGAUGUUGAUUAUGAUGACGCAUUGCGAUAGCUCUGAUGCACACGCGCCACUGACUGCGCGAUUGGGCCAUUUCUGACAAUGCCAUGAACCAUGGGUGAGUUGACUCCGGUUCGAGAAGUAAUCCUAUCUCCAGCCAGUCCCCCGGAACUUAUACAGCUACCCAAGUAAACAGGUUUAUCUACUACGUUGAUUGGCUUGCCUGCAAGCAUGAGGUAUGGGUUUGAUCCCACCCAGUCUUGUGCAAGCACUUUAGAUUUGCAGGUGCGAAACGCAUGCGAAACGCGUACCAGAAUUAUUUAGGUUAUCUGGUAUUUGAUCAGGUGGCUGUUGGUCCGUUCGCCGAGCUUGGCAGUUGGUUUGUAAACGUUUCAUCACCAUUCGAGGAGACAUCUUCAAUGCGCUGUUGGGUGAAGAUGUCUCCUCGAUUGGUGACGAAACGUUUGCAAAUCAAUUGCCAAGCUCGGCGAACAGACCAACAGCCACUUUAUCAAAUACCAACUAAUGCACGCGAGCUACCAGUAUUUCAACACAUUAUUUAGGUUAUUUAAAAUCGUCUGCAUACUCACUGUCUGUGAGCGAAAUUUCUAGAAGCAUUUCGACUCCCGAGGUUUCAGAGAUAGGCAGAGAAAUUUCAAGCAGCAUAUCAAUAACAUACUUGAAGAGGAAAGGUGGCAGGUCGUACCCAUAUCUGAGUCAAGUCUCCAGGGUGAACAGCCUCUGGUAAUUGAACAACUUAGUUAAGGGAAGUUGGCAAACUGGGUCCGUAACUUCGGGAAAACGAUUCGCUCUGACGGCCGAGUCAAAUGGGCUGGAGUCAGAUACGUGUUGGCGCAGUUGGGGGCUGGUUUUUUUGUUGCUGCGCCCGCUUCAGUGCAGUUCCAGCUGUAGUUCUGCUUUGCUGGCAGCGUGCAUGGGCAACUGUAUGCGUGUCGACAGUUUUGCUUCCUUCGUUUGGCGCUCAACGGCUAGCUCAGAACUGGCGCGGACCAGAGGAAUUCGACUGUCUAAUUACAGCCAAACACUGUGAUGUCUGCUGACCGGUUUUGACGCAGUGUGAUUUCUACCCAGUGCUCUGAAUGUCAAUGUGAGGAAAUUCAAUGAAGCGCGAGUAAACGGCGGGAGUAACUAUGACUCUCUUAAGGUAGCCAAAUGCCUCGCCAUCUAAUUAGUGACGCCCAUGAAUGGAUUAACGAGCUUCCUACUGUCCCUAUCUACUAUCUAGCAAAACCACAGCCAAGGAAGCGGGCUUGGCAGAAUUAGCGGGGAAAGAAGACCUUGUGAGGAGACAUGACGGGUGUAGAAUAAGUGGGAGAUGGGCUUCGGCUUGUCGCCAGUAAAAUACCACUGCGGUCAUCGUUUCUUUGCUUAUUCAAUAAAACGGGAACAAUAUUUGGGUCCUAAACACAUCCCAGCAUGCGUUGUUUCGCUGCGGUGUCGGUAUCUUGGUCAUGCCAGAUGAGUCGUGACUUCGGUCGCGGCGCUUGAGUCUGGAUGCGAGGUGCGACCCGUUCUGACUGAGGCGGUACACCUCUCUAAUGGUAACGCAGGUGUGCCAAGGUGAGCUCAGCCAGGACGGAAAACUGGCUUGGAGUAAAAUGACAAAAACUUACUUGAUUUUGAUAUUCGGAAUUUGAAACAAGAGGUGUCAAAAAGGUCACUACAGGGAUAACUGUGACCAAACCUUCAUAGCGACGUUUUUCUGAUCCUUCGAUGUCGGCUCUCCCUAGCGUUGUGGCUCAGGAUUCAUCAAGUGUGUGAUUGUCACCCAGUAAUAGGGGAAGUGAGCUGGGUUUAGACCGCCGUGAGACAGGUUAGCUUUGCGCUACUAAUCAGUGCAAUGACUCCGUGUAGUACAAACUGGUCGUUGCUAUUGUAAUCCUGUUUAAUACAAAAGGAACCACAGGUUCAGACAUUUGGUAUAUGUGCCUGGCCGAAAGGCCAAUUUUGCGAAGUUAUCAUCUGAGGGAUUAGGACUGAAUGCCUCCAAGUCUGAAUCUCGUGGCAAGCCUUGCUUACGUUUUUCUUUUGGCGCUUGGCCCAGACUAUGUAUCUGGCCUGGUCCAUUAGGUCUGGUAUAAUGCCAGAGCGGUUAUCGGAACCGUAUACCAGACCUCGGUGUGCGAAGGAGGACACGAUAUCUAAAUGCAGAAUGAGCGUGAAGGCACUUAAUCUUCAAUAGACGACUUAAUUGGUCGUUAGUUUAUUCGCUGAGCUGGGCAAUUUGAUUGCAAACGUUUCAUCACCAAUCGAGGUGACAUCAUCGGUGCGUUGGUAGGGAGCGACCAUCUAUACUACCUGAGCUACCAACAUUCUCCUCUAUAGCAGACGACUUAAUUUUUUGUCCGAGAGGCGUACGCGUCCGAGGAUCUAUCACACUGCGAGACCUUGAGCUCCGACCCUAUAUGAUAUGAUGAUU
rfam:Clonorchis sinensis DNA, scaffold: 468, strain: Henan.